GCUACGAGUAGUAUGGUGGAUAUGACCCUCGGCUUGUAACCGAGUGGGCUCGGGUUCGAAUCCCGAAUAUGGCA
rnacentral:tRNA from 1 species